UAGUCUUUCCCUUACAUAGUGCCAGGAGUGUAGAAUGGGUAAGCCCUGGUCUUUUCAUAUCUGUCAUAACAUAUCAUAACAUACUCGAAAGCUAGUAUGUCAUCCAACAUCCAUCCACAAUGACAAAAAAAUUAUGCAAUACAACAUAUUCAUGAAUUCUAAUGCAAAGCACUAUAAUCAUAUAUAUACAUGGCAUUCGUGAUGCAUGAGUGUCCUUAAAACAUUUGCUUUUCUUUGAAAUAAUAAUUUAGUUUAGUUAUACUCACCUCUGACUGAUGCACACCUAACUCUGAAACAGUUAUCUCAUUGCAAGUUUUUAUGGUCUCCCAAGUUUGAUCCUACAUAGAUAGACUUAAAUGAGAGACCAAACAUAAUUUUUAUAACUCAAAAAACUACUCCAAUAAACCCCUAUAAACAUAUAAGAACACACGUAGGAAACAAGCUAAAAAAGACUGGACAGGGGAGCAGAUUUAGUGGCCUAAAGCUCAUUCACAGAUCCGAAAGUUAAACCUUCGGAGGCAGGUUAGACGGCUAAAAGGCUACCUCCACAGGCCGGUUUGGCAAUUGAACUUUACUUUAAUGGCCAAACCUGGAUUCUCUAGCAAGGCAGAAUUCGAUUCUACCUUAACUCACAGCCACCAAAACACAAUGGAAUUCCCAUGCAAUGGUUCAACAACAACAAAAAAUAACUCAACACACUAGAACCACUUAAAAAUAACCUAACUUCAUCAUGCAUUGAUCUAUAAGGCAACAUCCAUCAUCUAAAAGUGAGAACUUAAACCUCAAACCAUUUUAAAAGAAUCAUGCAUCCAUCAACAAAUCGUUAAAACACCUAUAAUUCUUUUUGAAAAACCUCAGCAACAGAAGAAAAGCAAUAAUUAAAACUUACCUCUUGGAGACACAAUGAUGACAGCAACCAAGAACUUGGAAAAGAGAACAACCGAUAUCCGAAAGAUCUCCAAAGGCUAAAAUUUAAAAAGAUGACUUCGAUUGUUCAAAACAAAGAAAAAAACUCAUGAAUUCUCUAAGAGAUUUGAAGAAAACUCAACAAAAUCAUCAAGGAAUUAUAGGCUUACCUCUACUCAGAAGAAGAGAGAAGAAUUCCUUUCAAAAUUGGGCUGAGACCCUUUUAUAGUUGGGUCUGCUAGCUAAUGUUCGGCGGCCAAACAUGAGAGGUUCGGUGACCGAACCUUGAUGACUUGAAAAUCCCUUUCUUUUUAACACAUUUUAAAAUACUUUAAAUUCAUUUUAUAAAAGCCCAUUUUAACCUUCUAAAGAUUUUAGUUUCAAAAUUCUGGAUUCCAAUGAAAAUUCUGUCGAAAAAUUAAAAUUUUGAUGCUAGAGUUUAGCCGAGUAUUACAUUCUUUCUCCCUUAAGAACAUUCAUUCUCGAAUGUUCAACCAAAUAAGCAAACAAAACAUAUAUAUCAAGAAGACACAUAAAACCAUUUUAAUAACUUACUUCAAAAGAGAUGAGAGUACUGCCUAAACAUCGACUCUCUGGUCUCCCAGAUAUACUCUUCUAUAUUUCGGUGAUUCCAUAAAACUUUCACCAUCAUGAUUUCCUUAUUCCUCAGCUUUUUGAUCUGCGUAUCUACAAUUUGUACUGGCUGCUCAACAUAGGUGCGAUAUCUUAGGAUCUCCAUAUUAGACUCAUUAAGAAUCUUGCUCGGGUCUGACAUGAAUUUCUGUAAUAGAGAAACAUGAAAAAUUGGAUAGAUUCUCUCUAUGGAAGCAGGUAAAUCUAACUUAUAAGUUACAUUCCUAAUCUUUUACAAGAUUUCAAAGGGUCAGAUGUAUCUUGGAGCUAGUUUACCUUUCUUUCCAAACUGAAUCAUCCCUUUCAUAGGAGACAUCUUAAGCAAUACCAUAUCACCCUCCUGAAAGAUGACUUGGUUUCUACGGAUGUUUGCAUAACUCUUCUGCCUACUCACAGCUGUUUUGAUUCUUUCGCUGAUGAAGGGCACCACCCUAUUGGUGAUCUCUACCAAUUCUGGUCCUGCUAAAACCCUUUCUCCUACUUCUUUCCAACAAACAGACGACCUGCACUUCCUCCCAUAUAAAGCUUUAUAAGGAUCCAUCCCAAUACUAGCAUGGUAACUAUUAUUGUAGAUAAACUCCACCAAUGGUAGAUGUUGUCUCUAAGAACCACCAAAGUCUAACUUGCCUAGAAACUGAGUACACACCCAAGCACAAAGACAUGCAAAAAAAAACCAAACACAAAUAGCACAAAGCAAAGAGAUGGAAGAGACACAAAACAUGGUAACCCUGAAAAUAGCUCAUUGCCACCAACGCUUAUCCUUUGGCUCCAUCCAAUGAAAAACAUGCUUAAAACAAAAGACAUGCAGAUAGAGACGACACAAAAGCAGCAAAGGUGAAAACCCAAUCCAACCACAAUUGAGCAAAAUAGACCAAAACAAAGCUCUCCUGCAAACAACCAACAACCAAAAUUGUCAAAUAGAACUUGACUCACCGAACGAAGAACACCACACAGAGGAAGAGAACGUGAUAGAGCUCAGUCUCGUUGGAAUCAGUGGCAACAUUCAUCGUCGGACGCAUCGACGUGAUCCCAAGAUG
rnacentral:lncRNA from 1 species